rnacentral:lncRNA from 1 species
GGCCAACUUGAAUCCAGGACUAUGACCUCCAAAGCCCACCAACUUGAACAUUAUAUAUACUCUAAUGUUAAUAGUUCCCAUUUCUUUUGUUUCUAAUGAUACCAGGUAAAUAGGCACAUGAAGAAUAGUUCUCAGUUGUCUUUACAUCUUCUUACCAUUUUCUCAAUUGCAGUUUUUUUCCUCAAUCAUUACUUAGUUUUAAAAGAUGAAUGAAACUCUUCCUAGAAGAAAACAAAAUAUAAUGGUUCUUCGCUAAUUCUCAGAGGGAAGAAUCUUAAAGAAACAUUCUCUCCGCCCAAUUCCAGAGUGUUGCCAAUAUCUCCUACACAUAAACUGAAAUGAGUAGUUAAUAUUUCAUUGCAGCAUAUCAUAGCUAAACUUUGUUACAUUCAAGAAGUGAAACUAGGAUAUUACCCUGGUGGUCCAGUGGUUUAAGAUUCUGCACUUCGCGGGCAGGGGGCACGGCUUCGAUCCUUGGUUGGGGAACUAAGAUCCUGCAUGUUGCAUGGCAUGGCCAAAAAAAAAGUGAAACUAAUUUAAUUUCUACUUACAGGAAUAUGAAAGUCAGAUAGAAAAGGAUAUGUCCAUUUCAGAUGUGAAUUCUAUUACUGCACAAAGGAUUAAUUCUGCCAAUUUUCUGAAAAAGGUCCUUGGAUAUGCCUACUUAUUUGAUAUCAUCCAUGUCUCGCCUCAGACAUAAAGAAACAAUCAAAUCAUUAGCCUCAGAUGAACUCUUAAAUGAGAUAAGUAUUUAACACUUCUCUAAAGCGCAGUUUUGAUCAUGUUUUCCCUGAAUUGCAACUGGCCCCUAACUGGGGCUACUCUCUUGGGCUUCUAGU